UAAAGAUACAUUGUCAAAAAUACAUUCUUCAUUAAGUGGCAAAAGACUAUUAUACUCUUGUACUAUAUAUAUAAAUAUAUAUAAUAAAUAAUUAUUUAAAUAAAAUAAAAAAUAAAAAUAAUAAAUAAUUUCUUUAUGUCUUCGAAUAAUACUUUUCAAAUUCAAACUUUUUUUAUCAAUUUUGUUUUGAAAUUUUGUUUUUUCCAAUUUUUUUCUCAAAUUUCUACCUGAAAAUCGAAAAUUAUUUUUGAAACUAUUUUCUAAAAUUUAUUUUUUAAGUAUUUAUUUAUAUAUUUAUUAGAAUCCUAAGUUUCAUAUUUCAAAAACCCUAUCCCACUC
rnacentral:lncRNA from 1 species